AACGAACGCUAGCGGCAUGCCUAGCACAUGCAAGUCGAACGAGACCUUCGGGUCUAGUGGCGCACGGGUGCGUAACGCGUGGGAACCUGCCCUUAGGUUCGGAAUAACUCCCCGAAAGGGGUGCUAAUACCGGAUAAUGUCUUCGGACCAAAGAUUUAUCGCCUUUGGAUGGGCCCGCGUUGGAUUAGCUAGUUGGUAGGGUAAAAGCCUACCAAGGCGACGAUCCAUAGCUGGUCUGAGAGGAUGAUCAGCCACACUGGGACUGAGACACGGCCCAGACUCCUACGGGAGGCAGCAGUGGGGAAUAUUGGACAAUGGGCGAAAGCCUGAUCCAGCAAUGCCGCGUGAGUGAUGAAGGCCUUAGGGUUGUAAAGCUCUUUUACCCGGGAUGAUAAUGACAGUACCGGGAGAAUAAGCUCCGGCUAACUCCGUG
rnacentral:rRNA from 1 species